UUAGUGAAUUUUAUCUAUGGUUCAGCCCACUAAUCCAAGACCAAUUCCAAGAUUCUCCACUAAUUAUGCUUAGGUGUCAUUAAGCAUGUAAAGCAUGAAUGACAUGCACAAAGUGUGACUAUAUGAUGUGGCAAUAGGGUGUAGCAAGAAAAUGCUCACCUCCCCCCCUCUAAAAUUUAAUUGGAUUGGGAUUCUCCCAAUUCAAUUAAAUUUAUUUCUCAACACACACAUCAAAUAUUCACUUAAUGCAUGUAAAAUUACAAAACUACCCCUAAUACAAAAACUAGUCUUGGUGCCCUA
rnacentral:lncRNA from 1 species